rnacentral:rRNA from 1 species
GACGAACGCUGGCGGCGUGCUUAACACAUGCAAGUCGAACGAAGUGGCGAACGGGUGAGUAACGCGUAAUCAACCUGCCCUUCAGAGGGGGACAACAGUUGGAAACGACUGCUAAUACCGCAUACUGAAGGCAUGGAUUGCGUCUGAUUAGCUCGUUGGUGGGGUAACGGCCCACCAAGGCGAUGAUCAGUAACCGGGCUGAGGGGAUGAACGGCAAAAGUGGGACUGGGGAACGGCCCAGAGUCCUAAGGGAGGCAGCAGGGGGGAAUCUUCCGAAAUGGAAGAAAGUCUGACGGAGCAAAGCCGCGUGAGUGAUGACGGCCUUCGGGUUGUAAAGCUCUGUUAAGCGGGACGCGGUACCGGAAUAGAAAGCCACGGCUAACUACGUGCCAGCCGCCGCGGUAAUUC